UGGGGAAUCUUGCGCAAUGGGCGAAAGCCUGACGCAGCAACGCCGCGUGCGGGAUGAAGGCCUUCGGGUUGUAAACCGCUUUCAGUGGGGACGAACCAAGACGGUACCCACAGAAGAAGCCCCGGCCAACUACGUGCCAGCAGCCGCGGUAACACGUAGGGGGCAAGCGUUGUCCGGAUUCAUUGGGCGUAAAGAGCUCGUAGGCGGUUCGAUAAGUCGGGUGUGAAACCUCCAGGCUCAACCUGGAGACGCCACCCGAUACUGUCGUGACUAGAGUCCAGUAGGGGAGCGUGGAAUUCCUGGUGUAGCGGUGAAAUGCGCAGAUAUCAGGAGGAACACCAGCGGCGAAGGCGGCGCUCUGGGCUGGAACUGACGCUGAGGAGCGAAAGCGUGGGGAGCGAACAGGAUUAGAUACCCCUGUAGUCCCUGAGCGGGCUGGCAAGGCGCAU
rnacentral:rRNA from 1 species